rnacentral:lncRNA from 1 species
ACUGGAUCAAUCACCGUCUCCAUGAUGAUCCUACGAUUAGGAGUAAUUUAGAAAUUAACCAUCAAUAACACAUGCCUCAAAUUCUUAACUCUUUAAGAAUAUGUGUCAUCAUCUUAUUAAUUCUUUGGAUGAUUCAUGGAUACAUACAAUAUAAAUGAUUGUCAAACUAUCUGUUAAGUAUAAAAUCAUGUCUUAAAAAUAUGAUAUGCAUCAGCCAAGAUUGACUUCUAGGGCAUACAUCUAACAAUCUUCGACUUAUACUAAAGCUAAUCUGCUAUAUACCAAGCCUCAUCUUCUAAAGACAGG